rnacentral:rRNA from 1 species
UACGUAGGGUGCGAGCGUUGUCCGGAAUUAUUGGGCGUAAAGAGCUCGUAGGCGGUGUGUCACGUCGGCCGUGAAAACCUGCAGCUUAACUGUGGGCGUGCGGUCGAUACGGGCAUCACUGGAGUUCGGCAGGGGAGACUGGAAUUCCUGGUGUAGCGGUGAAAUGCGUAGAUAUCGAGAGGAACACCUGCGGCGAAGGCGGGUAGCUGGGCCGACACUGACGCUGAGGCGCGAAAGCCAGGGGAGCGAACGGG